rnacentral:rRNA from 1 species
GUCUACAGCCAUGCCACCCUGAACAAGCCCAAUGUCUGAUCUUGGAAGCUAAGCAAGGUCGGGCCUGUUUAGUACUUGGAUAGGAGACCUCAUAGGAAGACCAGAUGCCGUAGGCG